UGCAAGUCGAACGGCAGCGGGGGCUUCGGCCCGCCGGCGAGUGGCGAACGGGUGAGUAAUGCAUCGGAACGUACCCAGUCGUGGGGGAUAACUACGCGAAAGCGUAGCUAAUACCGCAUACGCCCUGAGGGGGAAAGCGGGGGACCUUCGGGCCUCGCGCGAUUGGAGCGGCUGAUGUCGGAUUAGCUAGUUGGUGGGGUAAAGGCCUACCAAGGCGACGAUCCGUAGCUGGUCUGAGAGGAUGAUCAGCCACACUGGGACUGAGACACGGCCCAGACUCCUACGGGAGGCAGCAGUGGGGAAUUUUGGACAAUGGGCGCAAGCCUGAUCCAGCCAUGCCGCGUGAGUGAAGAAGGCCUUCGGGUUGUAAAGCUCUUUCAGACGGAAAGAAAUCGGGCGCGUGAAUAGCGUGCCUGGAUGACGGUACUGUCAGAAGAAGCACCGGCUAACUACGUGCCAGCAGCCGCGGUAAUACGUAGGGUGCGAGCGUUAAUCGGAAUUACUGGGCGUAAAGCGUGCGCAGGCGGUUGUGUAAGACAGGUGUGAAAUCCCCGGGCUUAACCUGGGAACUGCGCUUGUGACUGCACGGCUAGAGUACGGCAGAGGGGGGUGGAAUUCCACGUGUAGCA
rnacentral:rRNA from 1 species